rnacentral:rRNA from 1 species
AGAUUGGACGCUGGCGGCAGGCCUAACACAUGCAAGUCGAGCGGAAACGGCGGUAUUGAAGCUUCGGUGGAUUUACUGGACGUCGAGCGGCGGACGGGUGAGUAACGGCUGGGAACCUGCCCUGACGAGGGGGAUAACCGUUGGAAACGACGACUAAUACCGCAUAAUGUCUUGAUUCGUUAGAGUCAGGACCAAAGGUGGCCUCUACAUGUAAGCUAUCGCGUUGGGAUGGGCCCAGUUAGGAUUAGCUAGUUGGUAAGGUAAUGGCUUACCAAGGCAACGAUCCUUAGCUGGUUUGAGAGGAUGAUCAGCCACACUGGGACUGAGACACGGCCCAGACUCCUACGGGAGGCAGCAGUGGGGAAUAUUGCACAAUGGGGGAGACCCUGAUGCAGCCAUGCCGCGUGUGUGAAGAAGGCCUUCGGGUUGUAAAGCACUUUCAGCAGUGAGGAAGGUCGUGUACUUAAUACGUGCACGGCUU